rnacentral:rRNA from 1 species
GUGGGGAAUAUUGGGCAAUGGGGGAAACCCUGACCCAGCAACGCCGCGUGAAGGAAGAAGGUUUUCGGAUCGUAAACUUCUAUCCUUGGUGAAGAUAAUGACGGUAGCCAAGAAGGAAGCCCCGGCUAACUACGUGCCAGCAGCCGCGGUAAUACGUAGGGGGCAAGCGUUGUCCGGAAUGAUUGGGCGUAAAGGGCGCGUAGGCGGCCCGGUAAGUCUGAAGUGAAAGUCCUGCUUUUAAGGUGGGAAUUGCUUUGGAUACUGUCGGGCUUGAGUGCAGGAGAGGUAAGCGGAAUUCCCGGUGUAGCGGUGAAAUGCGUAGAGAUCGGGAGGAACAACAGUGGCGAAGGCGGCUUACUGGACUGUAACUGACGCUGAGGCGCGAAAGUGUGGGGAGCAAACAGGAUUAGAAACCCGUGUAGUCC